ACCAGCCCUCCCACCACCGCUGGCUGCAGGUCGCUGUUGUAGGAGAGUGAAGGCAAACUUUGGUUAAAGAACAAGUCCAAUGGUGACACAGACUCAACAAAAGGAAACAUCUAUUCAAAUCCUUUGCCUGUUUUAACUGGAGUAUGUAUCAUAUUAUCAUAUUAUUGUGGCACUGUAGAGUUACAGACAGUGAGAGAGAGAGACAGAGAGAAAGGUCCUCCCUCCGCUGGUUCACCCCCCAAAUGGCCGCUACGGCUGGAGCUACGCCAAUCCGAAGCCAGGAGCCAGGUCCUUCCUCCUGGUCUCCCAUGCGGGUGCAGGGCCCAAGCCAUCCUCCACUGUCUUCCUGGGCCACAGCAGAGAGCUGGACUGAAAGAGGAGCAACCGGGACUAGAACCUGGAGCCCAUAUGGGAUGCUGGCGCCACAGACGGAGGAUUAACCAAUUGAGCCAUGGCGCCAGCCCAUAAUGUUGCUUUUUCUCACUGGUUAUUUAUUAGAUGUGUUAUGAAUUUAUACUUCAUGUGAAUUUAUACAAUUUAUACUUCUUUUAAUUCCUCUACUACAACAGCUCACUCCUGGUCUCUAUUAUGUCUGACAAA